UUUGAACGGUUAUUUUUUCCCAUAUUAUUUCCCCCUCAAUUUUGUUACCCGCCAAAAUAAGCCUUAUUUAUUUUAGUUUUGAAUAAAUUUAAUAAUAAAAAUAUUAUGUAAAAGGGCUGCUUUUGCCCUUUCGCCCAUUAAAAUAUCGAUACAUCUGAUACCCCCCAAAAUUAAGAACCCUAGCGCAGAGUCUUAGCUUCUUCCAUUGUAUUGUAAACCUAGAGACUUCUUAGAUCGAUUGCAGUGCACUGGACCCUCAGAGACAACUCUUCGAUUGCAAACGCCAGUCUCUCCAAAAAUCUUCUUCAAUCGUUCACUCUAAGAAACCUGUUGAAUCUUCCUCUCUAUCGGAUUCCUCUCUCUCACUUUAUGAAAUUGGGUUAAUUGGUUUUUACAUACAAGUUUUAGUGAUUUAGUGGGUGUGACGAAAUUUUUGGUGUCGUGAAAUUUUGAGGCAUCUGAGAAAAUUUCCUCAAAAUGGGUGCUCUCCCCAAUCCCCAAAUCCAACACCAGUGAUUUUAGCCAUGUAAGUUAUUUUGAUACCUUUUUAACUCUUCAAUCUAUCCAUGGAGGUUGUCGAAUUGCUCUAGGGCUUGUGUAGCCUUAAGUUAUACUCCGAUUUGAUAACGUUUCUCUGCUUAAUCUUUCUGCUUUUCUUUUUUUUAUUUUAUUAUUUAUUUUCUUGUUAUCUGCUUUUCGUUUCCUUUUGGAUUUUUCUACUUUUCUGGUGAUAUUUUGAUAUUUGAUUCUUCAAUCAUCUUUAAGCUGGUUGUUUGAUUCUGCUGAAUUACAUCAUAAUUUUAAUUAAUUGAGUUAAUAUUGAAAAUUAAUAUAUUAACAUUCUUAUUGUUGAGUUGGCUAAUCGAUGGUUGCAGGAAAAGGGGUUAUUUUUUACCUAGAUGUGAGAUAAGAUGAGAUGUAGCAUUUAAUUUGACGGAUGGCUGAAGAACUUGCAAGAAUGUGAGAUUUAGUUUCUGGGGUGCACAGGGAUUUCUUAUGAAUAUAGAGCAGUCAACCUUGACAAAGGAGAAUAGUUCACUUCAGGUAUUAUGUUUGACUUUUUGCUAGUCAUUUUAUUGAAUUAAUUGGUCAGAAGUAUCAAAGGCUUAUCUUGAAAUGCAAUAUUGUGUUGAUAAAAGAAGAUGCAGAUAAUGAAUUCCACGAAAGCUCAUUACUUGUGGUGCACCGGAAUGUCUCAGCGGAUUCUUAAAUCGCGCCUGAAUGUUGGCUUAUCUUUCUCAUGUGAUAAUUAGUUAUUAUCUGCUUAACUAGACAUAGAGAUAGUAGCAGCUGCCACAAUUUGUUACAAUAAGCAUAUCAGAUGUGAUUGAUGGUUCAAUGUCAUGGUUCUUCCUAGUCUAUGCAACCCCUUUAGGUGGAGCUUUUGCUUAUAGUUCAUGAUAGUUCUUCCUAGUCUAUGCAAGCCCUUUAGGUGGAGCUUUUGCUUAUAGUUCAUGAUUACUUGUAAACAAAAAACUUAUAGCUCUUGAAUAUAAUAGUGAUGAACAUAAGUAGCAGCUACUUUCAAUAAAGAAUAUGAAUAAGCUGUUUGACUUAAAUUUUUUUAACAAUUAAAAAUAAGAUGUUUGACUGUUUUGGCAAAACUUAAAACACUAGCUUGUGUGGCUUAUGCCUCAUGAUUGUUAUAGACUUAAUAGUGAUGGCAGAACUAGCAGCUAAUUUCCUGAAGGGUAAGAAUAAGUUUGGCUCUUUCUGAUCAGUGUGACUGAUCAGAAGAACAAAACAAUGUCAUUGUCUGUGGGUUCUACAAACCCAGGAACCUUCAUGAGGUUACCAUAUCUGUCUGAAGUUCUUUACUUUGCCGGUACCAAUAAGAUCUCAUCUUCCCCAUUUUCAUCCACAAGAUAUCAUUUUCUCAGCAUAUCUUCCAAAUUUAUCUUAAAAAAGCAGCUGCUUUACAGGUCCUGAUAUCUAGUUUUUGUAGCUCAACCCUGCCCUCAACAAAGAAUUGUCCAAUUGACCUUUCUCUGAUAUGACUAAGAUUACCCCUCUCUACGAUGAUAUAUGCCCAUUUAAUCAUGCACUUUUUUUGGUAAGGAUGCUGGGCUGGUAUCCUAGAUUCCUUAUAUGCGAAGAAAUAUCCUUUCGGUAAUUAAUAGAGGUUGUGAGUUCGAGUUUCCCCAAAAGCAAUGUGGGAAGUUCUUGGAGGGAAGGAUGCCGGAGGUCUAUUUGGAAACAGCCUCUCUACNNNNNNNNNNNNNNNNNNNNNNNNNNNNNNNNNNNNNNNNNNNNNNNNNNNNNNNNNNNNNNNNNNNNNNNNNNNNNNNNNNNNNNNNNNNNNNNNNNNNNNNNNNNNNNNNNNNNAAACAGCCUCUCUACCCAAGGUAGGGGUAAGGUCUGCGUACACACUACCCUCCCCAGACCCCACUAAAUGGGAUUAUACUGGGUUGUUGUUGUUGCUUGGAAAGAAGAUGCAAAAAGCUAAUAUUACUAGCAAUGUUUUUAACCUUUGCCAUGUAAACCUGAAGGAUUUUUCUCUUCAAGGUUAACGCCUUUUCUGCAUCUUUUCAUCCUGCAAUGAUUUUCUCAUGGCACUGAUUAGAUUAUUGACAUUGUUUGGGUGUUCAAUUUGUUCGUACUUCUGUGGAACCCUGGAUUUCAUUUGCCCUACUGAUGCACCAGUGGAUGAAAAAGGUAAUGAAAUACUCUAAAUUAUUAGGUACAACAUUUUCUAACAUAUUGAAUACAUGAUAUGACAUUUUUAGCUUGGAAAAGCAGCACGAACGUAUGAUUCUUCUCUGAUUUCCUUUGUAUUUCCUUCUGCUCAACAAUUGAAUUGCAAUUGUCGUGUAGAAACUUUUUAAUUCACUGUCACUAAUUUUCGUGUUUGACUGGUUUAUUUUUUAAAAUUUACUGUAGAAUCGGGAUGCUGUGGUUAUUACAAAUCUUUUACAGGAGGAAAUUCGAUCUGGUGGGGAGUAUUCCCCAGUCGGAGAAGUUAGUUAUUGGAGGGGACUUCAAUGGUCACAGUGGUUAUUACGAAUCUUUUACAGGAGGAUAUUGAAGCAGUCCAACAGGUAUUACGAAUCUUUGCUUGGAAGAUACGGGCUUUCUCAUUCAUUUUGUGGUUAUUGCUGUUUAUUUUUUUUCCAUUCCUGUUUAUCUUCUCUAACCGCUGUCAACAUCUUCUCUAACUCAUUCACAAGAGCAUAUUUUAUUGAAGUUGCCUUUUUGGGUGUUCCCAUUUCCGAUGUUGCCUGCAUUUUCUUUCAAGCUUAGAGGUAUGCGUUCACUUGCAUAUCACUUAUUCGACAAAAGUAUUUUUUCAGAGUUUAAAGAUGAAAGGUAAUGACUUUAUUUAUCCUCUUUUGUAGGUGGAGUAAAUCAAGAAAUAGAAGAUGAAUGCAAUGAAGAUCUAGACCUUACUUAAAAUGAAUUUUGAAUUGUUAUUGAUGAAUGUUCUAGGAAUCUUUUGUUGUCAACAUUUUGGAACUUACUGUCUUGAAAUGUAUUAAACUUAUGCACUUGGGGUAAAACAUUUACUUUUAUGGAUAUUAUUAGCCUCUUGGACAAGUUAUAAUAUGAAUUGUUAUAAUAGCCUACCAUAACCGUUGCAAUAGGA
rnacentral:lncRNA from 1 species